CCAACUGAAUCGCUGAGUCGCGCCCCGCCGGGGCGCGAGCGGGGGACCCACCUCUUGGGGUGAAUCUCCGGGCGAGCCCGGAGAGGGGCGACUCUUGCCGUCCCAACCCGUCAGCUAACCCCGUAAGCGUUGCAAGGGAGUUCA
rnacentral:sRNA from 1 species